rnacentral:rRNA from 1 species
AACUAGGCAAGUUAACCCCGUAACUUUGGGAGAAGGGGUGCCCUGGUGGGCUGAUGCUGUAACGCAUUAGUUUGCUGGGGUCGCAGUGACAAGGCUCGAGCGACUGUUUAUCAAAAACACAGGUCUCUGCUAAGGGGAAACCCGAUGUAUAGAGGCUGACGCCUGCCCAAUGCCAGAAGGUUAACAGGAGGGGUCAUCCCGACUUGUCGGGAGAAGCUCUGAAUCGAAGCCCUGGUGAAUGGCGGCCGUAACUAUAACGGUCCUAAGGUAGCGAAAUUCCUUGUCGGGUAAGUUCCGACCCGCACGAAUGGCGUAACGACUUGAGCGCUGUCUCGACGAGGGGCUCGGUGAAAUUGUAGCAUGCGUGAAGAUGCGCAUUACCCGCGACAGGACGGAAAGACCCCGUGGAGCUUUACUACACCCUGACAUUGAGAUUUGGGUUAGCAUGUACAGAAUAGGUGGGAGCCUUAGGGCACCAGUGGAAUACCACCCUUGUUAUCUUGGGUUUCUAACCCGAGGAGUUAUCCUCCCAGGAGACAGUGUCAGGCGGGUAGUUUGACUGGGGCGGUCGCCUCCCAAAAGGUAACGGAGGCGUCCAAAGGUUCCCUCAGCCUGGUCGGAAACCAGGUGUCGAGUAUAAGGGCAUAAGGGAACUUAACUGCGAGAUCGACGGAUCGAGCAGAUGCGAAAGCAGGGCCUAGUGAUCCUACGGCAACGUGUGGAAGUGCCGUGGCUCAUCGGAU